AGGACGAACGCUGGCGGCAUGCUUAACACAUGCAAGUCGAACGGUAAGGCCCCUUCGGGGGUACACGAGUGGCGAACGGGUGAGUAACACGUGAGCAACCUGCCCUUGACUCUGGAAUAACAGUUGGAAACAGCUGCUAAUACUGGAUAUUCAUUGUCUCCUUCCUGGGGGGUGGUGGAAAGCUCCGGCGGUCAGGGAUGGGCUCGCGGCCUAUCAGCUUGUUGGUGAGGUAAUGGCUCACCAAGGCUUCGACGGGUAGCCGGCCUGAGAGGGCGACCGGCCAACGACUGGGACUGAGAUACGGCCCAGACUCCUACGGGAGGCAGCAGUGGGGAAUAUUGCACAAUGGGCGCAAGCCUGAUGCAGCAAUGCCGCGUGCGGGAUGACGGCCUUCGGGUUGUAAACCGCUUUCAGUAGGGACGAAGGGUGACUGACGGUACCUACAGAAGAAGGACCGGCUAACUACGUGCCAGCAGCCGC
rnacentral:rRNA from 1 species